rnacentral:misc_RNA from 1 species
GUACAUUAGUGCUUGCGCACGACAAUAAAUUUCAUUACAUUCGAGUGUGUGUAAAAAUCCUCUGCCGGCCGAAGCUAGCAAGAGGCCAAAGGUUCACAGGGGUAUUGGAUGAAAAGCCGCCAACGUGCACUUGCCAGAGCUGGCCAGCACUGAAGACAACGAUUCGCAAUCAAUAAUGAUCCUUCCGCAGGUUCACCUACGGAAA